UACGUAGGGGGCAAGCGUUGUCCGGAAUUAUUGGGCGUAAAGAGUGCGUAGGCGGUCCGAUAAGUCGGCUGUGAAAGUCCAGGGCUCAACCCUGGAAAGCCGGCCGAUACUGUCGGACUAGAGUCCGGAAGAGGCAAGUGGAAUUCCCGGUGUAGCGGUGAAAUGCGCAGAUAUCGGGAGGAACACCAAUUGCGAAGGCAGCUUGCUGGGACGGUACUGACGCUGAGGAACGAAAGCCAGAGGAGCAAACGGG
rnacentral:rRNA from 1 species